UUUUAAGAUUUUUCCCUCCUUUGGACCCUAGGCUUGGCCUAGUGGUCUAGUUACUUAUGUUUGAGCUUGACUUUGACUUUUCAGGUUAAAAAGCUAAUGCCUUAAGGAGGUUGAUACAUGAUUGAGUUGAAUUCAUUUGACUAAUUGUUUGUUUUGUAGGGCUUGGUUCACUUGACCUCUGUGCUAGGCACAUGAUGUACAUCAUUGUUUGAUUGUUGAUUGAUUC
rnacentral:lncRNA from 1 species